UCGAGAAUCUUUCGCAAUGGGGGAAACCCUGACGAAGCGACGCCGCGUGAGCGAUGAAGGUCUUCGGAUUGUAAAGCUCUGUCACAAGGGACGAACGUCCCGCAGUAAAUAAUUGCGGGACUUGACGGUACCUUGAGAGGAAGCCCCGGCUAACUCUGUGCCAGCAGCCGCGGUAAUACAGAGGGGGCCAGCGUUGUUCGGAUUUACUGGGUGUAAAGGGGGCGUAGGCUGUCUUGUAAGUUAGAUGUGAAAUCUCAAGGCUUAACCUUGAAACUGCAUUUAAUACUGCUUGACUAGAGUACGAAAGAGGGAGAUGGAAUUCUCGGGGUAAGAGUGAAAUCUGCAGAUAUCGAGAGGAACACCAGUAGCGAAGGCGAUCUCCUGGGUCGAUACUGACGCUGAGUGCACGAAAGCUAGGGGAGCAAACG
rnacentral:rRNA from 1 species